UACAGAGGGGGCAAGCGUUGUUCGGAAUUACUGGGCGUAAAGGGCGCGUAGGCGGCCUGCUAAGUCGAACGUGAAAUCCCCGGGCUCAACCCGGGAACUGCGUCCGAUACUGGUUGGCUUGAAUCCGGGAGAGGGAUGCGGAAUUCCAGGUGUAGCGGUGAAAUGCGUAGAUAUCUGGAGGAACACCGGUGGCGAAGGCGGCAUCCUGGACCGGCAUUGACGCUGAGGCGCGAAAGCCAGGGGAGCAAACGAG
rnacentral:rRNA from 1 species